AACAAUGGGACUUCCACAGCAAUGGGAUCUGCUUCCUCUUUCAGUGUGUGCCUUUUCUGUGAGCGAGAGACUCCUAGGAAAGCAGCAGCCCAUUAGGAAAACGUGUGGGAACUCAUUCGCAGACUGGACACUGAAAUGGGCAUGUACAGAGACGAAGAGACCCCAAUAUGCUUCAGGCUUUGAGUGGAGAGGACACAGCCUCUGCUGGGACAGGGAACAGAGGGAUGUGGAGUCCCUGAAGAUGCUUUUGGACAAUGGUCUGAGGUUGGGACAGUGGCAGGAGAUACCAUUCACCCAGGAUCUCCAGUACAAGAGAUCAGCCUGGCAGUUACACGUGUUUUUUUUUCAAACUGGUUGCCAGGUUGGCAUGAACGAUGACAUCAGAGAUUCCGACCUUCCUGAUUGGAGGGACCGGACUCCGUGGUGCCUGGAGAUCAGUUGGACAAUAGUAUCUUCUCAGAGCUGUUCUCCACUCCUGACUGCUCCUAGGCUUGAGAAUUGAUAACAUACUCUUCUGGAUCCUAGCAGUGUCCAGAAGAAGGCCAUGGACAGAACGGAGACUAGGUUCCGUAAGAGGGGACAGAUUACGGGAAAGAUCACGACCAGCCGUCAACCGCACCCCCAGAAUGAGCAGAGUCCCCAGCGGAGCACCUCGGGGUACCCCCUCCAGGAGGUGGUGGAUGAUGAAGUGUUGGGACCAUCAGAUGAGGGGACUGGUGGAAGAAGAGCCCCUGGGGUAGAUCCCAGCCCCCCAUGUAGGAGCUCGCCCCUGAGCCUGAGGAGACCUGGGUAGUGGAGACGCUGUGUGGGCUCAAGAUGAAGCUGAAGCAACAGCGAGUGUCACCCAUCCUCCCUGAGCACCACAAGGACUUCAACAGUCAGCUUGCCCCUGGGGUAGAUCCCAGCCCCCCGCAUAGGUCCUUUUGCUGGAAAAGGAAGAUGGAGUGGUGGGACAAAUCUGAGGAGUCGUUGGAGGAGGAGCCACGGAAGGUGCUCGCCCCUGAGCCUGAGGAGAUCUGGGUGGCGGAGAUGCUGUGUGGCCUCAAGAUGAAGCUGAAGCGACGGCGAGUGUCGCUCGUGCUCCCUGAGCACCACGAGGCCUUCAACAGGCUGCUUGAGGAUCCUGUCAUUAAAAGAUUCCUGGCCUGGGACAAAGGUCUGAGGGUGUCGGACAAGUAUCUCCUGGCUAUGGUCAUAGUGUAUUUCAGCCGGGCCGGCCUCCCCUCCUGGCAAUACCAAUGCAUUCAUUUCUUCCUGGCUCUCUACCUGGCCAAUGACAUGGAGGAGGACGACGAGGACCCCAAACAAAACAUCUUCUACUUCCUGUAUGGGAAGACCCGCUCUCGCAUACCCUUGCUCCGUAAGCGUCGGUUCCAGUUAUGCCGUUGCAUGAACCCGAGGGCCAGGAAGAACCGCUCUCAGAUAGUCCUGUUCCAGAAACUUCGGUUCCAGUUCUUCUGUUCCAUGAGCUGCAGGGCUUGGGUUUCCCCGGAGGAGUUGGAGGAGAUCCAGGCUUAUGACCCAGAGCACUGGGUGUGGGCGCGAGAUCGCGCUCGCCUUUCCUAGAGCUCCAGGGACCGUGGAGGCCUGAGGUCAUCGGCCUGAGAGAAGAACACCGGACCCAGGGGAGAUGUGGAUUUUCAGCAGGAACUUUAUUCCAAUGCUAAUGGCAGACACCAGGAAGAAGGAGAGGAACCAUUUGUGCAGAUCAUCUAGAAGAACCUGGACCAUUCUUGAUGGAGCUGAAUACAGUGAUCAUGUUGUCCUACCUAGGAGCAGGGGGAGGGGGGUGGGGUCCUUCUAGGAGUCCUUGGAGAAAAGUAAGAAACCAGGAGUGUUUCCAGUUCCACCCUUUCCUGCGGCACCACCACCCUUUUUAUAUUGCUGAAUUCCAACCUCCCUGGGGCGGAACCUGGAGGUCCUAUUUCUUACGGACUUGGUUGCCACAGUCCAGGAGCAUUUGAAGGCACAAUGCAGGGGCUCAGAUUGGCACAGAAUUCUUUUGUGAAAUAUCAGUGCCACAGAUUGUAACAGAUAGCUUCAUGCACACUCUGCAUUUUAUUGGUUUGUUUGGAAAAUGUUGGCCAUUGAAUUAUUCAUAGAUUUAUUUCAAAUAGUUUGGAAAUUGUUGUACCUUUGAAAACAUGCUGUUCCUGUAGUUUUUUGAUGAGAGUUAUAGUUGUUAUAUAUACAUAAAGAUAAUUUUCUUUUCAUUUUUAAGAGACAAUUCUUUUUAUCCUAAAUAUUUUAUUAUCUUUAAAUUUGUUCCUGUAUUAUUAUAUGUGCUCCUGAAGCGAGCACUCUUUUUAUCUAUGAUACUUCCAUAAUAAUCUCUUCUAUUUAUAGCUAUUGGUAGUUCCCUACCAGAAAAAAACAUAAUUCUGGUGAUUGAAAUUUUUAUUUGCUAUUUAGGUUUGUGACUGAAUUGUGAGAAUUCAGUUGUGAUUUUUAACAUGUCUCAGAUAUAUAUACUAACAUGUCUAAUAUAUACUAUCUAUUUUAUUGGUUUAUUUUGAAAAACAUGGGUAUAGAAUUAUUUAAAUAUUAUUUUAUUUAUUUAUUUAUUAAAUAUAUUUAUUUAUUUAAAUAUUAUUACUACUUUAAAUAUUAUUUUAAAUAUUUUGGAAAUACUGGUAUUUUUGAAUAGAUGCUGUUUCUAUAAAGCUGUGUGAUGGGUGUUAUAACUGUUAUAUACACAUACAUAUAAUUUUGUUUUCCUUUUUAAGAGAGGAUUCUUUUCAUCCUAAAUCUUUUACCUUUCAAUCUUUGUAUCUAUUAUUACACAUGCUGCUGAAGGGAGCAUGGUUUUUAUCUAUGAUACUUAGUUAACAUAUAUAUUACAUUUAUAGCUAUGUAGUAGUUCCCUUAAAUUCUUGUAAAAAUAAAUUUUUAUUUGAUAUUUCAUAUAUGUCUGAAAUGUGAGAAUACAGAUGUAAUUUUUUACCUUGUUUUGGCAUGUUUGUAUGUUACUUUAAAGAGGAUGUGUGUGCUAAAGGAGGACAUGAGCUGUGUGUUUUCAAGAGAACAAUAGAGUGCGUCUCUUGGGGAAACAUAAUAAAAAUGAACUUUUCUCACCUUCACAGCAAUUGUGA